ensembl:lncRNA
AAAUGUCCCUUAGCAACUUAAUUCAAAAUAGACCUCGACUGGAAACAACCCAAAUAUUCACCAAAUAGUGGAUGGAUAGAUAAACUGUGACGUAUCCAUACCAGGGAAUACUACUCAAGAACAAAAAGGCGUGAACCGCUCAUAUGGACGUGCACACAUCGAUGUGCACAGAUCUGCAGAGUGUUCUGCUGAGAGAAGAAGACAGGCCCCAGAGACUACACACCAGUCAUGUGGGAUCUUAGUUUCCGGACCAAGGAUGAAACCCACACCUCCUGCAUUGGAAGCAUGAGUCUUAACCACUGGACCACCGGAAAAGUCCCUGGGUUCUAGUUCUGACUCCGCCACUCAUUGUGUGACCUUUGAUGUGGACACAGAUGCACUGAGUCAAGAGACCUGCCCAAGGAAGGCAUCCAGAGCUGGAAUGUGAGCCCAGGUGGGGAUUCUGCCCUGGAGCAUCUGGACCUUACCCCAGGAGGCCCGUGAGUGAAGGGACGUGGCCAAGUCUCCUGGGUCAGGCCGAGACAGAUGGCUCAGUGGUAAAGACACCUGCCAAUGCAGGAGACGCAGGAGUUGCAAGUUUGAUCCCUGGAGAAGGAAAUGGGAGCUCGCUUCAGUACUCUUGCCUGGAAAAUCCCAUGGACAGAGAAGCCUGGUGGGCUGCAGUCCACAGGAUUGCAAGGAGUCGGACACUGAGUCACUGAGUAUGAGUGAUCUUACUGAACUGUAUCUUAUAAAUGGUUAAAAUGGUAAGUUUAUAUUAAAAGUACUUAACAAUCAAUUCUAUUAAGAAGUAAUUUUAUUCUCAAAUGAUGGGGAAGAAUGGGGGAGGGUCAGAAUCAUCAAGUGUGACUGAAUCCAUGGCUUUGUCUCUUGGAACAAUGAUGACCAACGAUGGUGUCAUCUCAAAAGCCAACAUUCCUUCCCACUCAACAAAAAAAUCCAAGAGCAGACGGUGUUUAUUCCAGUUCGGGUCAUAUGCUUAUCCAAUCCUUGAACCAGUCCUUGUGCCCAGGGAUGCGAUACUCCGGUUGGAUGGAGCUAAGUUUCAGGCACACUUGGAAGGAGGGCAGGGGACAUCUGGGCACCCCAACAGGGGCUUCCACAGUGGGCAAGGAGACUGGAUCCCAGGAGGACCUAAUAGCAGAGAAGACUGGAAGGGAAAAUCUGUGUUCUUGCUUCAGUCAGAGCAGCAGAGAGUAGGGAGAG